GCAGUCUGUUGGAAUUAUAAAUUCUGAGUGAAUUAUGACUUUUCAAUUAUUGCAUGAAUUUUUGAGGAUUCUGAAAGUUUAAAAUGCUGACAUUGUAGAAACUGAUAUUCCCUGGAUACAUUGCUUAUUCUUCUCCUUUCUGGGCAGACUUUUACCUUUUUUUUUUUUUUUUUUUAGUAUUUUGCCUCUUUUUUUUUUAGCAUUUUAUUUAUUUGUUUAUUUAUUGAAUAGACACAGAGAGAAACUAAGAUGGAAGGGGGAAAUAGAGAGAAAAAGAGACAACUGCAGUUCUGCUUCACCAUUUGUGAAACUUCCCACCUGCAGGUGUAGACCAGGGACUUGAACUUGGAUCAUUUUGCAUUGUAACAUGUACACUUUAUAGAGUGUGCCACCACCUGGUCCCAUUUUUCCCUCUUCUUUUCUUUAGAAAAACUCCUCGUCUUUUAAAAGGGCAUUUUCUUAUAAAAAUAUAGUUUCAGAAGAUCGGCUCUAGGACUGUUUAGAGUUUGAGAGAAUGUGUAAAAUGACUUAAUUAAAAAUUUUUUUUUCCUUUGGUUAGACUGGAAUUCAUUGUACUUGUUGAUACGUAAAGUCUAUCAGAGUAUGCAUCUCUUAGCACUGAACCAACUUUUAAGUUUGAGCAUUUCAUUCUUAUCUCCUUGAAAACUGCAUCAGGAUAUUUAGGACAUAUACACAUAUGGCCACAUAAACUGGUCACACAUACAAACUGAACCUGCCUUUUUUUUUUUUUUAAGGUACAGAGAGUGUGAAAGAGACCACAGCACCAAAGCUGGCCUCCAACCUGGGUGGAACACAUGGAAAAGCAGUACAGUAGACAUGGAGAGAUACCACUGCACAGAAGCUUUCUCCAGUACUACAGUACACUCAUGUGGUGUCUUGAGGCCUUGAACCUGGGUCACAGAUAUGGCGAAGCAGGCAAGCUGUUUGCUGGGUCCAGGGAGAGCUUCACAUGAAUGAGAGAUGAAGAAAGAGAUAUGCCAGAGCACCACCCUGCUAUAUAUGGUGUUGGGAACUGAACCAGGAACUUCACGCCUACAGGUCCUGCACUCAACCAGUUGCAUUCCCCUCCCACACCCCAGGCACCGAACUUGGAA